UUCUAUUAUAGUUGAGUUCAAUACCGACGUGUUUGUGACUAACAAGGAUGAAGAUGAAAAUGUUAUUAAUUGUGUUCCUCUGCUUUUUCGUUGAGAUGUCGCUACAAACAGGGUCGAGGUACUAUGGAAAUAGAAAGUCAGCUUCCAAUGAAACGGAACAAGACAAGACAAAAAAACUUAGGCCUAUGCUUCGGGGCCAAGGUCAAUCUAGUUCAAAUGCAAUGGACUCUCAAUGCGUCAUAAGUUAAUAAAAAAAGCUUAUAUUAAAAACAAACGAUAUUUUAAUUGUUGAAUUAAAUAUCAAUCUGUUCAGUGAAAUGUA